GAGAAACUUAGGGAGAGCUUGUAACCUCUGGAAAAGUGGUUUUUGUGUAUGUAUAACAGCCAUGGAACACGUUCUGAGCUGUGAGUGGGAUCCCAAGUGGAGCUGCGAGGAGCUGAUGACCUGUAUCCUUCAUGCUGCCAUGCUUCCUCAUGUGUGUGUGCUGUGUGGAAGGGGAGGGCAGCCACAAAACCUUACACACACGGCAUGGGGGGGUCAUAGGGACUCUGCAGCUGGUACAGCUGCAGGAAAGCAUCCAAAAUAAUACAGACAGGGAGAAAACAGCACUGAAACCAAAGCCCACAGGGGGUCAGGAGAAAGCAAGGUGCAUCGUAGCACCUGGGUAAGUUAAAGCAUGGGUGGGAAAUGAGAUGGAGAUGUGUUUGUGAGAGGGCAGAGCUGGGGGCUGAGCCCUGCUCCCUGCAUUGGCAAAGGCUGCCCGUGGAGGCAGUGGGGUCACUGAUCAGGGAGGAUAUCAAGAACCAUGGAGAUGUGGGGGACAUAGUGGGCAUGGUGGGAUGGGUUGAUGGUUGGACCAGAUGAUCUUAGGUGUCUUUUGGUCCUUAAUGGUUCUACCAUUCUGUGAUUCUGUGACUGCACAUGGAUGCAGUGGGGCUGGAGAUGGGGGCAAUGGGGAGAGGGGAGUUCCUGGCUGAAACUCAGGGAAUGUAACAGCUUCAAGAGAAAAUCAAACGUGAGCUAACGUCUCCUACAGGGCCGCUUGUUUCGUUGGAGGAUAAGCUUUGAAGCAGCUGAAGGAUGGAGAAAUGGAUAGGACAGUAAAGUAUAAACAUGCUGACACCCAUCAGUGUCCAUCCUCCAUGUUCAGCUCUGAGCAAGAGAAGCGCAGCCCUCUGGUCAGGCUCCCCAAUCACAGAAUCACAGAAUGGCCCGAGUUGGAAGGGACCUCAAGGAUCAUGAAUCUCCAACCCCCCUGCCACAUGCAGGGCCACCAACCUCCCCAUUUAAUACUAGACCAGGCUGCCCAGGAUUUCAAUCACAUCACCGUAAUGGAUCCCCUUUCCCAGCAUCCCAAUUUGUGCCCUAAGGGGAGGUGUUUACCCGCCUGAAAAGCUAAAAUGUUUUCACCUCUUGCAACGUGAAAGCACAGGAGCUGUAUGGCGCAUGGGAAUGUUACAGCUUGGGCACGUGGACACUUGAAAACUUCACCAACCUUCAGUGUUUUUGGAAAUGGGGCUGGAAGGAGGUAGCGGUUAGGGUUAGGGUUAGGUGCCAUGGUUGCACCUGGCGGUCUGAAA
rnacentral:lncRNA from 1 species